rnacentral:rRNA from 1 species
UACCAGCACCCCGAGUGGUCGGGACGUUUAUUGGGCCUAAAGCAUCCGUAGCCGGUUCUACAAGUCUUCCGUUUAAUCCAACUGCUUAACAGGUGGGCUGCGGAAGAUACUAUAGAGCUAGGAGGCGGGAGAGGCAAACGGUACUCGAUGGGUAGGGGUAAAAUCCGUUGAUCCAUUGAAGACCACCAGUGGCGAAGGCGGCUUGCCAGAACGCGCUCGACGGUGAGGGAUGAAAGCUGGGGGAGCAAACCGG